GCUCUUGUGGCGAAAUUGGGUAGACGUAUUAGUUUUAGAAGCUAAUGUCUUUGACGUAUGGGUUCGAGUCCCAUCGAGAGCA
rnacentral:tRNA from 1 species